AAUAGGAUAAAAUGGAAGGAUUAAAAACACAAAUAACCCAUUUCAAACUCUAGUUAAAACCUUAUUCCCUUUUGCUGUAACAGCAGCCUCAAGAACUGCUCCAUCCUCUCCUCUGCUUUGCAAGCCAAACUCCCCCCCUUCCAACUUCGAUUUAGAUGAAGAGAAGCAAAGAUGUCGACGGCGCACUUCGUUUGGAGACGUGCAGGACGUGCGAAGAAAGUGACAACCGCUGGCACACACGCGCUGUGAGAACCCGAUGAUUACGGCACCGUUGAAACUGCUACUGUUUUUUUUUUUUUUGGUAAUUUAGGCUAGUGGGUUUGAUGUAAUUGGGCUUUAGGCUAAUGUAAUUGGGUUACAAUUUGGGCUUGGGUUAAUUGGGUUUAGUAGUGGACUUCUAAUUUUAAAUUUGGAUCUCUGAAGCUUUAGGCUAAUUGGGCCGUGUAAAGGAUUUUGGGCCCCGGGCAAUAAUUGGGUAUUACAGUAUUAAUUUAUUUUUUUUGCA